CGCAAUGGACGAAAGUCUGACGCAGCAACGCCGCGUGAGGGAUGAAGGCCUUCGGGUUGUAAACCCCCUUUUAUCAGGGAAGAUGAUGACGGUACCUGAUGAAUAAGUCACGGCUAACUACGUGCCAGCAGCCGCGGUAAUACGUAGGUGACAAGCGUUGUCCGGAUUUACUGGGCGUAAAGAGCGCGCAGGCGGUCGUUCAAGUCGAGUGUGAAAGCCCCCGGCUCAACUGGGGAGGGUCAUUCGAUACUGAUCGACUCGAAGGCAGGAGAGGGUAGUGGAAUUCCCGGUGUAGUGGUGAAAUGCGUAGAUAUCGGGAGGAACACCAGUGGCGAAGGCGACUACCUGGCCUGUUCUUGACGCUGAGGCGCGAAAGCUAGGGGAGCAAACGGGAUUAGAUACCCCGGUAGUCCUAGCCGUAAACGAUGGACACUAGGUGUUGGUGGUAUCAACCCCGCCAGUGCCGAAGCUAACGCAUUAAGUGUCCCGCCUGGGGAGUACGGCCGCAAGGCUA
rnacentral:rRNA from 1 species